UCCUCCCCGGCGUCCAGAGCUCCGGGUGGCCGCGGCCGAGCCGGGAGCCGAGCGCGCUGGGCGCGGCCGUCCCGCUGCCGCCGCCAAGCCCGGAGUGCGCCAGCGGCCAUGGUUCCCGCGGCGGCGCCGGGCGCCUGAGCCCCGGGACGCAAGCGCUGGAGGCGGGCUGCCGGCUGUGCGGGCGCUCCGGAGAGACCGACAGAAGGUGAGCACUGUGGGCUAUGGGAUGGAUGAGGUGGAGCAGGACCAGCAUGAGGCCCGACUCAAGGAGCUGUUUGACAGUUUUGACACGACGGGCACAGGGUCCCUGGGGCAGGAGGAACUCACCGACCUUUGCCACAUGUUGAGCUUGGAGGAGGUGGCCCCAGUGCUGCAGCAGACAUUACUUCAGGACAACCUCUUGGGCAGGGUACAUUUUGACCAAUUUAAAGAAGCAUUAAUACUCAUCUUGUCCAGAACUCUGUCAAAUGAAGAACACUUUCAAGAACCAGACUGCUCACUAGAAGCUCAGCCCAAAUAUGUUAGAGGUGGGAAGCGUUACGGACGAAGGUCCUUGCCCGAGUUCCAAGAGUCCGUGGAGGAGUUUCCCGAAGUGACGGUGAUUGAGCCACUGGAUGAAGAAGCGCGGCCUUCACACAUCCCAGCCAGUGACUGCAGUGAGCACUGGAAGACGCAACGCAGUGAGGAGUAUGAAGCGGAAGGCCAGUUAAGGUUUUGGAACCCAGAUGACUUGAAUGCUUCACAGAGUGGAUCUUCCCCUCCCCAAGACUGGAUAGAAGAGAAACUGCAAGAAGUUUGUGAAGAUUUGGGGAUCACCCGUGAUGGUCACCUGAACCGGAAGAAGCUGGUCUCCAUCUGUGAGCAGUAUGGUUUACAGAAUGUGGAUGGAGAGAUGCUCGAGGAAGUAUUCCAUAAUCUUGAUCCUGACGGUACAAUGAGUGUAGAAGAUUUUUUCUAUGGUUUGUUUAAAAAUGGAAAAUCUCUUACACCAUCAGCAUCUACUCCAUAUAGACAACUAAAAAGGCACCUUUCCAUGCAGUCUUUCGAUGAGAGUGGACGACGUACCACAACCUCAUCAGCAAUGACAAGUACCAUUGGCUUUCGGGUCUUCUCCUGCCUGGAUGAUGGGAUGGGCCAUGCAUCUGUGGAGAGAAUACUCGACACCUGGCAGGAAGAGGGCAUUGAGAACAGCCAGGAGAUCCUGAAGGCCUUGGAUUUCAGCCUCGAUGGAAACAUCAAUUUGACAGAAUUAACACUGGCCCUUGAAAAUGAACUUUUGGUUACCAAGAACAGCAUUCACCAGGCGGCUCUGGCCAGCUUUAAGGCUGAAAUCCGGCAUUUGUUGGAACGAGUUGAUCAGGUGGUCAGAGAAAAAGAGAAGCUACGAUCAGAUCUGGACAAGGCCGAGAAGCUCAAGUCUUUAAUGGCCUCGGAGGUGGAUGAUCACCAUGCGGCCAUAGAGCGGCGGAAUGAGUACAACCUCAGGAAACUGGAUGAAGAGUACAAGGAGCGAAUAGCAGCCUUAAAAAAUGAACUCCGAAAAGAGAGAGAGCAGAUCCUGCAGCAGGCAGGCAAGCAGCGUUUAGAACUUGAACAGGAAAUUGAAAAGGCAAAAACAGAAGAGAACUAUAUCCGGGACCGCCUUGCCCUCUCUUUAAAGGAAAACAGUCGUCUGGAAAAUGAGCUUCUAGAAAAUGCAGAGAAGUUGGCAGAAUAUGAGAAUCUGACGAACAAACUUCAGAGAAAUUUGGAAAAUGUGUUAGCAGAAAAGUUUGGUGACCUCGAUCCUAGCAGUGCUGAGUUCUUCCUGCAAGAAGAGAGACUGACACAGAUGAGAAAUGAAUAUGAGCGGCAGUGCAGGGUACUACAAGACCAAGUAGAUGAACUCCAGUCUGAGCUGGAAGAAUAUCGUGCACAAGGCAGAGUGCUCAGGCUUCCGUUGAAGAACUCACCAUCAGAAGAAGUUGAUGCUAACAGCGGUGGCAUUGAGCCCGAACACGGGCUCGGUUCUGAAGAAUGCAAUCCAUUGAAUAUGAGCAUUGAGGCAGAGCUGGUCAUUGAACAGAUGAAAGAACAACAUCACAGGGACAUAUGUUGCCUCAGACUGGAGCUCGAAGAUAAAGUGCGCCAUUAUGAAAAGCAGCUGGACGAAACCGUGGUCAGCUGCAAGAAGGCACAGGAGAACAUGAAGCAAAGGCAUGAGAAUGAAACGCACACCUUAAAAAAACAAAUAAGUGACCUUAAAAAUGAAAUUGCUGAACUUCAGGGGCAAGCAGCAGUGCUCAAGGAGGCACAUCAUGAGGCCACUUGCAGGCAUGAGGAGGAGAAAAAACAACUGCAAGUGAAGCUUGAGGAGGAAAAGACUCACCUGCAGGAGAAGCUGAGGCUGCAACAUGAGAUGGAGCUCAAGGCUAGACUGACACAGGCUCAAGCAAGCUUUGAGCGGGAGAGGGAAGGCCUUCAGAGUAGCGCCUGGACAGAAGAGAAGGUGAGAGGCUUGACUCAGGAACUAGAGCAGUUUCACCAGGAGCAGCUGACAAGCCUGGUGGAGAAACACACUCUUGAGAAAGAGGAGUUAAGAAAAGAGCUCUUGGAAAAGCACCAAAGGGAGCUUCAGGAGGGAAGGGAAAAAAUGGAAACAGAGUGUAAUAGAAGAACCUCUCAAAUAGAAGCCCAGUUUCAGUCUGAUUGUCAGAAAGUCACUGAGAGGUGUGAAAGCGCUCUGCAAAGCCUGGAGGGGCGCUACCGCCAAGAGCUGAAGGACCUCCAGGAACAGCAGCGCGAGGAGAAAUCCCAGUGGGAAUUUGAGAAGGACGAGCUCACCCAGGAGUGUGCGGAAGCCCAGGAGCUGCUGAAAGAGACUCUUAAGAGAGAGAAAACAACUUCUCUGGUCCUGACCCAGGAGAGAGAGAUGCUGGAGAAAACAUACAAAGAACAUUUGAACAGCAUGGUCGUCGAGAGACAGCAGCUACUCCAAGACCUGGAAGACCUAAGAAAUGUAUCUGAAACCCAGCAAAGCCUGCUGUCUGACCAGAUACUUGAGCUGAAGAGCAGUCACAAAAGGGAACUGAGGGAGCGUGAGGAGGUCCUGUGCCAGGCAGGGGCUUCGGAGCAGCUGGCCAGCCAGCGGCUGGAAAGACUAGAAAUGGAACAUGACCAGGAAAGGCAGGAAAUGAUGUCCAAGCUUCUAGCCAUGGAGAACAUUCACAAAGCGACCUGCGAGACAGCAGAUCGAGAAAGAGCCGAGAUGAGCACAGAAAUCUCCAGACUUCAGAGUAAAAUAAAGGAAAUGCAGCAGGCCACAUCUCCUCUCUCAAUGCUUCAGAGUGGUUGCCAGGUGAUAGGAGAGGAGGAGGUGGAAGGAGAUGGAGCCCUGUCCCUGCUUCAGCAAGGGGAGCAGCUGUUGGAAGAAAAUGGGGACGUCCUCUUAAGCCUGCAGAGAGCUCAUGAACAGGCAGUGAAGGAAAAUGUGAAAAUGGCUACUGAAAUUUCUAGAUUGCAACAGAGGCUACAAAAGUUAGAGCCAGGGUUAGUAAUGUCUUCUUGUUUGGAUGAGCCAGCUACUGAGUUUUUUGGAAAUACUGCGGAACAAACAGAGCCGUUUUUACAGCAAAACCGAACGAAGCAAGUAGAAGGUGUGACCAGGCGGCAUGUCCUAAGUGACCUGGAAGAUGAUGAGGUCCGGGACCUGGGAAGUACAGGGACAAGCUCUGUUCAGAGACAGGAAGUCAAAAUAGAGGAGUCUGAAGCUUCGGUAGAGGGUUUUUCCGAGCUUGAAAACAGUGAAGAGACCAGGACUGAAUCCUGGGAGCUGAAGAAUCAGAUUAGUCAGCUUCAGGAACAGCUAAUGAUGUUAUGUGCGGACUGUGAUCGAGCUUCUGAAAAGAAACAGGACCUACUUUUUGAUGUUUCUGUGCUGAAAAAGAAACUGAAGAUGCUUGAGAGAAUCCCUGAGGCUUCUCCCAAAUAUAAGCUGUUGUAUGAAGAUGUGAGCCGGGAAAAUGACUGCCUUCAGGAAGAGCUGAGAAUGAUGGAGACACGCUACGAUGAGGCACUAGAAAAUAACAAAGAACUCACUGCAGAGGUUUUCAGGUUGCAGGAUGAGCUGAAGAAAAUGGAGGAAGUCACUGAAACAUUCCUCAGCCUGGAAAAGAGUUACGAUGAGGUCAAAAUAGAAAAUGAGGAGCUGAAUGUUCUGGUUUUGAGACUUCAAGGCAAGAUUGAGAAGCUUCAGGAAAGUGUGGUCCAGCGGUGUGACUGCUGCUUAUGGGAAGCCAGUUUAGAGAACCUGGAAAUCGAACCUGAUGGAAAUAUACUCCAGCUCAAUCAGACACUGGAAGAGUGUGGGCCCAGGGUUAGGAGUGUACAUCAUGUCAUAGAGGAAUGUAAGCAAGAAAACCAGUACCUUGAGGGGAACACACAGCUCUUGGAAAAAGUAAAAGCACAUGAAAUUGCCUGGUUACAUGGAACAAUUCAGACACAUCAAGAAAGGCCAAGAGUACAGAAUCAAGUUAUACUGGAGGAAAACACUAGUCUCCUAGGCUUUCAAGACAAACAUUUUCAGCAUGAGGCCACCAUAGCAGAGUUAGAACUGGAGAAAACAAAGUUACAGGAGCUGACUAGGAAGUUGAAGGAGAGAGUCACUAUUUUAGUUAAGCAAAAAGAUGUACUUUCUCACGGAGAAAAGGAGGAAGAGCUGAAGGCAAUGAUGCAUGACUUACAGAUCACGUGCAGUGAGAUGCAGCAAAAAGUUGAACUUCUGAGAUAUGAAUCUGAAAAGCUUCAACAGGAAAAUUCUAUUUUGAGAAAUGAAAUUACUACUUUAAAUGAAGAAGAUAGCAUUUCUAACCUGAAAUUAGGGACAUUAAAUGGAUCUCAGGAAGAAAUGUGGCAAAAAACGGAAACUGUAAAACAAGAAAAUGCUGCAGUUCAGAAGAUGGUUGAAAAUUUAAAGAAACAGAUUUCAGAAUUAAAAAUCAAAAACCAACAGUUGGAUUUGGAAAAUACAGAACUUAGCCAAAAGAACUCUCAAAACCAGGAAAAACUGCAAGAACUUAAUCAACGUCUAACAGAAAUGCUAUGCCAGAAGGAAAAAGAGCCAGGAAACAGUGCAUUGGAGGAACGGGAACAAGAGAAGUUUAAUCUGAAAGAAGAACUGGAACGUUGUAAAGUGCAGUCCUCCACUUUAGUGUCUUCUCUGGAGGCGGAGCUCUCUGAAGUUAAAAUACAGACCCAUAUUGUGCAACAGGAAAACCACCUCCUCAAAGAUGAACUGGAGAAAAUGAAACAGCUGCACAGAUGUCCCGAUCUCUCUGACUUCCAGCAAAAAAUCUCUAGUGUUCUAAGCUACAACGAAAAACUGCUGAAAGAAAAGGAAGCUCUGAGUGAGGAAUUAAAUAGCUGUGUCGAUAAGUUGGCAAAAUCAAGUCUUUUAGAGCAUAGAAUUGCGACGAUGAAGCAGGAACAGAAAUCCUGGGAACAUCAGAGUGCGAGCUUAAAGUCACAGCUGGUGGCUUCUCAGGAAAAGGUUCAGAAUUUAGAAGACACCCUGCAGAAUGUAAACCUGCAAAUGUCCCGGAUGAAAUCUGACCUACGAGUGACUCAGCAGGUAAAGGAGGCUUUAAAACAAGAAGUGAUGUCUUUACAUAAGCAACUUCAGAAUGCUGGUGGCAAGAGCUGGGCCCCAGAAAUAGCUGCUCAUCCAUCAGGGCUCCAUAACCAGCAGAAAAGGCUGUCCUGGGACAAGUUGGAUCAUCUGAUGAAUGAGGAACAGCAGCUGCUUUGGCAAGAGAAUGAGAGGCUCCAGACCGUGGUACAGAACACCAAAGCCGAACUCACGCACUCCCGGGAGAAGGUCCGUCAAUUGGAAUCCAAUCUUCUUCCCAAGCACCAAAAACAUCUAAACCCAUCAGGUACCAUGAAACCCACAGAGCAAGAAAAAUUGAGCUUAAAGAGAGAGUGUGAUCAGUUUCAGAAAGAACAAUCUCCUGCUAACAGGAAGGUCAGUCAGAUGAAUUCCCUUGAACAAGAAUUAGAAACAAUUCAUUUGGAAAAUGAAGGCCUGAAAAAGAAACAAGUAAAACUGGAUGAGCAGCUCAUGGAGAACUCAGUGGUUGGAAGUAGCAGAGAAGGGUGCAGUUCUCUGCCUGAGAUAGUGUGUGAAGAUGCAGCACCUGAGGUCCACUGCGACGCCUAGCCCGUCCCCUCAUGCUUGGGAUUUGCAGCUGCUCCAGCAGCAAGCCUGUCCGACGGUGCCCAGGGAGCAGUUUCUGCAGCUUCAACACCAGCUGCUGCAGGCAGAAAGGAUAAACCAGCACCUGCAGGAGGAACUUGAAAACAGGACCUCCGAAACCAACACACCACAGGGAAACCAGGAACAACUGGUAACUGUCAUGGAGGAACGAAUGAUAGAAGUUGAACAGAAACUGAAACUAGUGAAAAGGCUUCUUCAAGAGAAAGUGAAUCAGCUCAAAGAACAACUCUGCAAGAACACUAAGGCAGACGCAAUGGUGAAGGACUUGUAUGUUGAAAAUGCCCAGUUGUUGAAAGCUCUGGAAGUGACUGAACAGCGACAGAAAACAGCAGAGAAGAAAAAUUACCUCCUGGAGGAGAAGAUUGCCAGCCUCAGUAAUAUAGUUAGGAAUCUGACACCAGCGCCAUUGACUUCUACACCUCCUUUGAGGUCAUAGCCAAACCAAAGGGUACACUCAUAUUUGUGCACUUUACUGAAAUAGAUGAACAUUUCAGUAGGUUCUCAACUUAAAAUUAAGCCUAACCUAAAACUGCCAGCAACACAACUGGAGUUUCCAUUUAUCAUAAUUAGUUUUUCUAAGUAGACCCUUAUGGGAGUUUGAAAAUAAAUACUCACAUAUUUCACUACUUAAAUUAUUCCCAAGAUUUGAAUUUAUUUUAAAAUUUUAAUAGCCAUCAAGAAUGUAGACAUAUGAAAAUUCAAGAACCUAAAAAAUACCGGUUUUGAAUGAGUUUUUGUGGUUUUGGGGUUUUUUUUUUAAUUAUUACAAAUCUAUGUGUAAAGUCUAGAUAUUUGAAGUUUGAGAUCUGAUGAGAAUGGUUGUUAUAAACUUUAUUUUAAAACCAAAUUUAGGUGUUCUUACAUAUUUAAAUACUGGAAAGUCAUUAUAAAUAGUUUUGGUUCUUUGAAUUGGUAGACAAUUAGUAGAGUAUAAUUGGUUAGGAGGCAGGGCUUAUUAAGUGGUUAUUAACCACUGACAUCAGACAAACCCAAAUCUGUAGAAUUCUAACCUUCUAACGCCUGUGACAGUAUUACCACUCUUCUUGUAUUAUAGAUUUAGAACUCAUUUACUCAAUUGCACUCUUAACUAAUGUUAAAAGCUUACUUGCUUUAAACAGCCUUUUCUUCUUUCUCUUAAAAGUUUCAUUUGGGGAGCUGGUCUUCUAAGAAACGGAUAAAGCCACAUAAUUAAAGCAGUUGAACUAUAGGGAAAGCACUGAACAAACCACUUCGGAGUAAAUAGCUACUCUUAGAAAAGAGGGAUAAGCAGACCAUGUAGGUUUUCUGUCUCUCAAAUCUUGGAGUUCAUAAAUUUACUUGAGGUUGCCUCAAGAACUCAGGGAACGAUACUGUAAACUGUCUUCCUGAACUACUGUAGGGCCUCUCUAAGAAUUUGAAAUGUAUAAACCAUGUGACCUCAUUUAUUUGUCUUAUAUAUUUACAGCCAUACUAGAAUUUUUAUUUCUACGUUUUUAGUAAAUUUAAUAUUCUGGGGGAAAAAAGGCCUUGAUUUUAGGGUUAAAAACCUGACUUACAGAAGAGUUUAUUUAAUAUAGGUCAAAAUUUUCUGUGUUUCUUAUUCCUUCUAUACCUCAAAUCUGAUUCUAAGAAUUUCUUACUGUGAUAAUCAUUGGCAUGCCACCUGAGGUCAAGGAGUGCCAAAUAGGACUUUCCACUCAUGCUCAAGAUCAAAACUUUAUAGAACAGUCAACAUUUUAGAUUCGGUAACCUUUUUUUUCUUCCAAUUAUAAUCUCUGCUUCUAGCCACUUCCGCCAGCAGUUGGUGGAAGACUUACUAGGUGCAGGGCACUUUCCAAGCUCAUCACAACCACCUGCUUGUUUUCAUGAGACAAUAAUCCGAAAAGUUCGCUUUGAUAUAUUCCUGGAGGGCCAAGCCCAUCUAUUUACAAAAGGUGAACAGCAAAAUGAAGCACUACUUUAUGGGCAGGAACACAAGAGAAAACAAACUGCCCAAGAAGUCAUCAUGUCAGAAACUCAAUCUCAACAAAAUAAUUUCCAUCAGGGAACUUCAGGGUUUCUUGGGGGCUUAUGAGUCUCACCAGUCAACCCAGGAAGCCUCACUACAAGAGCCUUGACAAGGCACUGUUUUUUGUGGGACUGGGAGUUCACACUGAUGAAGCAAACCUUUGAAUUUUUGCACAGCUCUUGUCAGAAAGCCGAGUUCCCCCUGGAUAAAGAGUUAAUUUUAAUCCUUCCCUAUAAUUAUACUUCAAAAUAUUUGACAUCUGCUAUUACGCCUUCUUUAGAUCUUUCUUCUGCGGUGCAAACAUUUCUAGUAAGUGUUUGACUACUUGUAUGGCAUUAGCUUUCACAGAAAGUUGUUUCACUUAAAACUGUGGAUUGGCCUAGGCUAAGGACAAAAAUAAACUAAGUACCUGUAGUGUAUUUAUGUGAUAUGUGUCAAGUUACUCAAAGUUAUUGCUGUUGGAACUGAACAAUAAUAUUUCCCAGAUAGCUGGCCUUAGCAUGCGAUCACAGUUGUUGUAUUUUUAAUUUUUGUCUUUUACAGUAUGAGAGGUGUAGGUUAAUUUGUUUAUUUCCUAUAAAUUUGUAUUUAUGUGUAUAUAAAAUGUACAAUGAAUGUAAAUAUGACUUUCUGGAAAGUUUAGACUACAUUUAGAAUCUCUAUUCAAAAUCAAAAUGCUGCUCAAAUGAAUUUAACCAACAUCUAGGUGCUUAAUUUCUCAUUUUAUCCCACUUAUGAGAUUGGGAAAAAGAUCAAUAUGAGAAAUAUCAUACAGAUACCUUAAAUGUAUGCAUUUGUGCAACAAUUUUUGAGAAGGUGAGUGGCAAUUUAUAAUUUAGUUGGCAAUUUAUAAUAGAACUUAUAGCUUUUAAAAGACCUUUUAAAGACAUUAAGUGUAAACUUAAAAGUAUGUUUAGAUCUUGUUUCAAACUUUACAAUAGCACUCUUCAAAAUAUUAAGUUAUAUAUUUUAUAGGCAUUUAGUUGCUUAUUAAAAGCACUGAUUUUCAAACUUUUUGAUUUAAGAACAAUUAUUUAAGAUCGUCUCAGAAGAUGGGAUCUUCAAGAAAAGGGAAUCAAGUUUGCCUUUGAGAUAAUACGUUACACUAAGAAAAGGAAAAUGUGGAUAGUAAAACCCACCCCUCUCAUCCUAUUUUACUCUCUUCUGCUUUUUAGAAGCCUGCACUUAAGCUCAGAUUUGUGAAGGGAGAGUAGAAGGGAAGAAGUAGAACCACAGUGUUUUAUUUAUUUUUCUAAAACUCUUACUAAAUCCAGAUUUUUAAAACUGUUUUAAAUGUGAAUUCUUCCCAGAAAUUUCAAUGCAUUGCAUAUUUAGCCUUCGGCAUAUUUUUCAUGAGUAGAUCAUGAAGUCAUAGGCUUCCAAGGCAUAGGAAGAAUCUUGCAGGUCUAGGAUUUUAAUACUGCACUAUUACCCAGGGCAGACAUUAUGAGAAACUGUUUCUUCUCUAAGGGUUUAUGGCAGACUUUGCUUUUUUAACAUGUGAGAAAUGAAUUUUUUAUUUUGUGAUUUAUGUGAUUUCUUUUGCUGAGUGAAGGAAAGGAGAAAUUGUUGCUAUUGUCAGCAUCUUAAAGGUAUUUCCAGUCAAGGCAAGGCUAAGUGCUUUGUGAUAGUAUUAAGCAAGUCACGUUUUGAAUGGAUUACCUGUAGUGACUCAUGGGAAUGAUAUAAUUAUACAAGUAAUGCCAAAAACCAAGUCAAAGCCUAAUUAACCAAAGCACUCAUUUAAAAAUCAUCACGUUUGGACCUAUCUGGACCUCUCAGCACUGUAAAAUAGUUUUGGUUUUGUGGCAUAUGAAUAGCUGUUUAACAAAUCAAAGUUAGCUUUUUGCUUCUCAGCUUUUUUGGGCAAUCAAUACAAGUUAAGUUCUUAAUGGGGAGACAUUAUCAUGGCAUGACUUAAGGGAACAUUGGUUUGUGAAGGAAAAACAGAUUAUCUAAAGCCAUCUCUAUGUUUCUGUUCAGAUAAAGAUUAAUGAGUUCUGUGUUUAUAUCAGCUUUGUAUAUUUCAUCUUAGCCAUUCUAUCCUAGAAAGAUUUUAAUGUGAGCUUAAGAUGUAAAUAAAUAAUUUUGCAAACA